rnacentral:lncRNA from 1 species
GUUGAAUUUAAGCAGACUGGGCAGAGGAAGAAAGCCUCGGUUUUCUCUGUGCUCUGACUCAGGCUGGCCCUAGGCAAGUUACAUGGCAAAUGGAAACGUGGCCUCAAUGGACAAAGAACAUCGUUGCUAUUAUUCAUGGUACAUUAAAAUGAUUUUAGGAUGGAGAAUAGGGCAUUAACAUAGGACGUAGCCCUUAGAAAUUAAAAGCUUCAUAAGUGUAUUGCUGUGAUGGACAUCCCUUGCAUUUAUAGAGAUAAAUUAUGAUUGUUAUUAUGAUAUCAAUGCAGUGUGAUUAUUCCAACCUCCAAAUAGUGGUUGUACUUUGGAUUAUCAGUUUACGUUCAAAAGUCACAUUUUUCUUUAAUAUCCGAUGAUGAUUUCUUUAGGAUUAUGCGUUGUGGGUCAGAAUUUGAGCUUUUUCCGUUUUUCCUCUCACUUUCUAAAUUAAAUAUAAAAUGAGAGCAUGAUGGGGGAAUCAAGCUAUUUUCAGGUCGUAUUUGAAGAGCAGGUGUGUUCUCUCCUGAUUUACAGUGCAGGUGCAUUUUAAUUUAACUGCUUAAAAUGGUGAUUAAAAAGCUCUUCAAGUGGAACAAAGCAAAGUUUUAAAAAUGUCUUGUAACCAGUUGCUCUUAUUUUUUUUGUCCUGUUUUCUCACCACUUGACCUCAGUAUUGUGAAUUUCUGAAGCAGCCCCCUCCAAGAAUACUGCUCCAAAUAUGUGAAUUAUACUCAUUCAGUACGAUCCAGGCUUUAGGACAAUGCGGGGGGGUCACAGAGCCCUGGGUCUGUUCUUUGUCUAACAUGAUUCUAAGGCAGGGAAGGAUCCUCCCUGCUUUUGAACCCAGUGACAUAUUUCCAUUUGUCAUUGAACACCAGGGGGAGCAGAACCACGGACCCCAAAGUACCCCCCUUCCACCGUAGGCUCCCACCCUCUACCAGAGGAUUUGCUGCUCUUGGCUUUUAAGUGCCCUGAAUAUUUGAUGGUGAGAUGGAUCAUGCACCAUGUAACUAGUUAUCAGGCUUGUGUGGGUGUGUUUAGAGGGGUCUCCCCUUAGCUUGGCUUCAGGUCUUGGUGAUAGAAUCUAAAUAACACAGGUUACUCAUCACGAGUUGAAGAUUUUCCCCUUUUCACAUUGAUGCUGCUGAUACACUUUUAUACGUUGGCUGAUGGUGUGUGCGUACUUUGUGGCUGCCAAGAUGCAGCUGGAAAGUGUGUGGGGGUUGUCUGCUUCCUCUGAGGCUGCUCCAGGUGGUCAGGUGGGGGCGGCCGUGAUAAAGGUGCAGCCUCACUUCCGGCAGCUCGUCCUGGAAGUGCUCUAACCCACUGCCAGAGCCCACUUCUGCCCCCUGUUCUCUCCUCGCUGCUUUAACUUUGGCUGCUUCUGAUUUGCUGGCUGCAGGUUUAUGACUGAGAUUGUGGUUCAGAAUUAUCUUUUGGGGUAUGAAAAAAUCUCUCAGAUUACUUUGUGUUGCUAUUUCUCUUUCUUCUUUUGCCGUGGACUUUCUGGAUUUUGUAAAAAUGAAUCCUAGAAAAAAAAUCAUAGUAUCAUAUAAGAGUUAGAUAAAGAUGAGGUGGAUGUCAGAAUCUCUCAUGAGGGCAAAAAUAAAAUCAGUUUAUGUUCUUGGCAGACUGAGUACGUGCAAAUGCAUUUUCUGAUGGAAGCAGUGCUGGUUAUUGGGUCCAGAUAUGGAAAAGUCCAUUUCAGAACAUUGACAGAGAAUCACUGGUCUUGGAAGGGGUUCCUUUAUUCGGUCUGCCACUCACCUUCACGUGUCUUUUGAAUUUCUGCAUUGCAGUGUCCUCGGAGCUCGGAGAAAUGUGCGCUACCCUUGGUGGAGGUACCCUGGAAGGGAACUAGUGUUGAUUAAUAUGCUCGACACAGUGAUGGGAGCUUUACAUGAUGUUAUUCCAUCUUUGAGAAAACCUUAUAAAUGAGGUAAUAGUAUAGCUUUUUUAGAGGAAGAAGCAGAGGUUCAGAGACAUUGAGCACUUAAAGGAACCUGUGGUGAAGAGUCAGGCCUCUGCCUCUGAAACCAGUGCUCUCUGCAGGGUGUGGACUGCCUCUCACACUCGGUCAUGAAAAGAACAACUGGAUUUAGGGACAUCCGAUAAGUAUGAUGGAAGUUCGGGGGCAGGAGCUCUGGGUGCACCUGGAGGAGGCAGAGAAGACCCCCUGGCUGGGUGGGACUUCGAUCCGAGCCUUGACAAUGGGUAGGAUUUGUAUAGAGCAGCCAGGAGGAGAAAGGGUCUCCCACUCAGUACCAGCAGAGGGAGGACAAGGGUGACCACAGAGGGAGAAGGGGCACACUGCUUAGGUCACAGCAUGGGCCAGUCUAGCAGGGAGCCAUCAGAAGUUAGCACGGAACGAGUGCUCACUGUGCCAGGUACCAUUCCAAGUUCUUUACAUCUGCUACCUAUCCUAUCCUUCCAGCAGCCCUCUCAGGACGAUGUUGCCAAUUCUGUUGUAGGGUUGGAAGACUGAGGGUGGUUAAGGAAGGGGUGGCCCUGGGAUUCAAAGCCUUACCCCUCCUUACCAGGUGAUGAGGGUGGUGGAGAGGGUCCUCAAAUUGUUGUGGACAGUGAUGGAAAGAUCAAAAUGCCAGGCGGGGGUGAUUGGAAGAACAAAAUGAUGGCCGCGAGGGAGUUCUCCUCUUGGCUCAGCAGUAGCAAACCCAGCUAGUAUCCGUGAGGAUGUGGGUUCGAUCCCUGGCCUCACUCAGUGGGUUAAGGAUCCAGUGUUGCUGUGAGCUGUGGUGUAGGUCACAGAUGCACAGCUCAGAUCCCGAGUUGCUAUGGUGGUGGUGUAGGCCGGCAGCUGCAGCUCUGACUCGACCCCUAGCUGGAGAACUUCCAUAUGUCACAGGUGCAGCCCUAAAAACAAAAAUGAACCCCAAAACCAAAAACAAAACAGACGAAAGAAUCAUCAAUCAAAUCAAAUGAGAUUAAGAAUCCAUCAAUCAACAGGCCUUGAGUGGUUGGAAUUGAAGAUGUCAGGAAGGCGCUAAGAUUUGGCGGCUGGGUUUUGUUAAUGCUCUUCAAGAAAUGAAUGCUUAUUUACAGGGUAGUAGCACAAGGGGAAGAAAUAAAGGCUUUUGAAUGGGUGAAAGAUGCAGUUAGAGACAUCACAUGCUAGAAAAAUCGUUUACUGGAGAGUGGGAAAUAAGGAGAGGAGCACGAGGGAGGGAAUAGGGAUGAUUUGGGGGUUAUCUGCCAGGAGAGAAUUGAUGCCCUGGGAACAGAGGAUUUCUCAGAGGGAGAAACCCAAAGCCUUGGGAAGUGCCCUUGGUCAAGCAGAGGAAGGAGAGGAGCCACAGCCAAGGAGGAAACAGGAGACGCAGCUAAACCAGGGGGAGAGAGGAUAAUUAAAAGAGAAAAUAAAAAGCUGCUGAGCACUGUCAGCUGCUGCAAAGAGGUCAAAGGGACAGAGAGGGAAAGGGGGGCCUGAGGUUUGACCAAGGGGAAGGCCAUUUGUACCUUGCACAGUAGGCCUGGUGGAAAUCCAGGGGAAGUGAAGUCCAGCCAGACUAAGAUGUUGGCGUUCUUCCUCAGUGGACUUUUUCGAAGCACUUAAUUUACAGACAGCUCAGCAUCACUGCAGAGGGGUGCUUCGUCGACACUACGGGGCUGCCUGAGACAGCAUUUUGUUACACUGAUCUGUCUGGUCUGGCAUUCAUUGUCUUUCAGUGCAUUCAUUUACAUGGUCCCUGGGUUUUGAAGGCGGAGGUGUGUAAUUCAUCACUGCCCACUGAAGACAUCAUUUGGGGGCUGGUUUGAUGAGCCCUUGAAGCAGAGCAGGUGAGGUAGAAGACUGUCCCUUGGGAACCAUGCUUUUGGUCACCCAGCUGCCCUCCGCUUCCCAGGGCCAUAGACUCAUUUAUUUCUCAGCCUCUUUUGAAUACACUGUUUGUUAUAAGGCGUCCAAAAAGUAUCAUAGCACCACCAUACCCUGGGCUUCUUUUCAUUUUAGGGCUCCCUUGUCAUAUAAAGUCCAAAUGAUAUGAAAAUAACCCAAUCUUCAGAAAUCCUCAAAGUACCAAAAUGUGUCAUAGAUCUUCCAAUGCUUUUGGUGAGAAUCCAGGAAUUCUCUGCCUCAACACCACAGCUGUGAAUUGUAAAGCAUUUCAUCCACCACCAUGGCAUUCACAGUUAUUUUUAUUUAAGCAGCCAGAUUUGGAAAUGCACCUCACUUUAGCAUUAGUUUAAAAAUUUCAGGGAGGAGAGGAGAAAUUUGCAUUUACAAAUGAUCAUGUUUUUUAUUUUAGCUUUUGGUUGGAAGCCUAUUUGGUUCUUUCUUCUUCCAGCCGGUUUUUCUUGGUAACUAUCACUUGGUGCAUUCUGAUUUUAGAAAAUAUGUCUCCGUGUGGGAAACUCAGAAGACCUAGGGGAAUAUAAACGCUUUCCCUGCCCGCCCCCCGCCCCCCGUGUAGAAUCCUGGUAAGUGAAACUUAAAAGAGAGCCCCCUCAGGAAAGUCAGACCCCAUCUCUGACCCCUUCGGCACUGGCUUCUCUUUCUUACUGCCUGUCUCUUGUUAGCAUCUUGACUCAGGAGCAUGAGAGGGGAGAAAAAUGAAAGGUCAACCUUGUUUCUUAUGCACAGUUUCAGCAUAAGUUUCACUGUCUUUAGUUGAACUCUUGAUCGUUGGUUUUUGGAGAUGUCUGGGGUUUCAUUUUUCCCCCAGUUCUCUUAGUUUUCACGUCUCAAUAUAAUCUAGAGUUCAUUGUUCAUCACGAGAGAACCUGCUUAAUCGUUUGCUUAGGUUAGAAAUCUGUUCAGAUUACCAGAAAGUUUUCUUCUAUUUGGGAUCAUCAGAGUUCGAUCAUAUUAACAUAGUCCAAAUACGUUUGCUAAGAUUUCGUCUUUCGUUAUUAAAGUUCCCAAAUAUAUUAUGGUGUUUUAUCAUUAUGAACAUCAACUCUCAUUGUUUAGAACUGUGCUUCCUUAACUGUUUUAUUUUUUUUAUUUCUUUGGGGUGAGGUUUCUGCUUUAUUUUAAGUGUGGUUGCCAUACAAUAUUAUAUGUUACAGGUAUGCAAUACAGUGAUUCACAAGUUUUAAAGGAUAUACUUCAUUUAUAGUUAUAAACAUUGGCUGUAUUCCGUCUGUUGUAUAGUAUAUCCUUGUAGCCUUUUUUUUUUUUUUUGGCCACACCCACAACAUAUGAAAAUUCCUGGGUCAGGGAUCGAACCCACCCCACAGCAGCAACCUGAGCCACUGCAGUGAUAAGGCUGAAUCUUUAACCUGCUGAGCCACAUGGGAACUCCCCCUUGGAGCAUAUUUUAUUUUUUAAAUGAUUUUUUAUUUUUUUCCAUUAUAGCUAGUUUACAGUAUUCUGUCAAUUUUCUACUGUACACAAGGUGACCCAGUCACACAUACACAUAUACAUUCUUUUUUCUUACAUUAUCAUGCUCCAUCAUAAGUGACUAGAUAUAGUUCCCAGUGGCUUAAUUGUUUUAGAGUCAUGGACUGAUAGUUUUAUAAAAUACAGUAGAAAUGAAUUCCUAGAAAAAUGAAAUUUAAAAGACAUCAAAACAAAAGCCUAAGAUUUUUAAAAAUGAUUACAUUAAACAAACAUACAAUUACUCUGACAAACUGCUCUAAAGUCUCUAAACACUACUCCCAAUUUCCCUUCUUUUCUAUUUUUAAGGGCCGCACCCAUGGCAUAUGGAAGUACCCAGGCUAGGAGUCAAAUUGGAGCUGUAGCCACCAGCUUACAUCACAGCCACAGCAAUACCAGAUCUGAGCCACGUCUAUGACCUUCACCACAGCUCAUGGCAAUGCAGGAUCCUUGACCCACUGAGCAAGACAGGGAUUGAACCUGCAUCCUCAUGGAUACCAGUCAGAUUCGUUUCCACUGUGCCACAACGAGAACUCCUACUCCCAGUUUCUGUACUGGGUCCAGGGCUGGUCUGCAGGUCUCACUUGGAGCCCCACUGUCUGAAUGGAAUAUAGACAGGUUAGGAGACCAUACCCUCAAAGCAGGUUUAGGAGGGCUGUCAUCUUCAUAUUUCUUCUAUCUCUAUUUAUCCCUCCCUCCAAAGGUCAAGUGCAGGGAAAAAAAAAUCCUGUUUACUUAACAUUUUUCUAUUUAAAAAAAAUUAUAGGACAAUACAUGAUUGUUAAAAUGUUUCAAACAAUAUAAAGGCAAAUAUAGAAAAGGCUGGUCAUUGGUAUUCCCUGGUGGCGAGUGGAUCUGGUGUUGUCACUCGUGACACAAGUUCAAUCCCUGGCCCAGGAAUUUCCGGGUGUCAUGGUCGUGGCCAAAAAAA